rnacentral:rRNA from 1 species
UACGGAGGGGGCGAGCGUUAUUCGGAAUUAUUGGGCGUAAAGGGUGCGUAGGCGGCUGAACAAGUCAAAGGUGAAAUCCCCUCGGCUCAACUGAGGAACUGCCUUUGAAACUGUUCGGCUUGAGGCCGGGAGGGGGUAGCGGAAUUCCCAGUGUAGCGGUGAAAUGCGUAGAUAUUGGGAGGAACACCAGUGGCGAAGGCGGCUCACUGGACCGGUUCUGACGCUGAGGCGCGAAAGCGUGGGGAGCAAACAGG